rnacentral:pre_miRNA from 12 species
UCUUUUGGGCGGGGGUCAAGAGCAAUAACGAAAAAUGUUUGUUUCAUAAACCGUUUUUCAUUAUUGCUCCUGACCUCCUUUCAUUGGCUAUAUUCA